AUUGAACGCUGGCGGCAUGCUUUACACAUGCAAGUCGAACGGUAACAGGCCGCAAGGUGCUGACGAGUGGCGUACGGGUGAGUAAUGCAUCGGAACGGGCACAGUCGCGGGGGAUAACUACUCGCAACAGUAGCUAAUACCGCAUACGAUCUAUGGAUGAAAGCGGGGGACCGUAAGGCCUAGCGCGAUUUGAGCGGCCGAUGUCAGAUUAGGUAGUUGGUGGGGUAAAGGCUCACCAAGCCAACGAUCUGUAGCUGGUCUGAGAGGACGACCAGCCACACUGGGACUGAGACACGGCCCAGACUCCUACGGGAGGCAGCAGUGGGGAAUUUUGGGCAAUGGGCGCAAGCCUGAUCCAGCAAUGCCGCGUGCAGGAAGAAGGCCUUCGGGUUGUAAACUGCUUUUGUACGGAACGAAACGACGCUGGUUAAUACCCGGAGCUAAUGACGGUACCGUAAGAAUAAGCAACGGCUAACUACGUG
rnacentral:rRNA from 1 species